rnacentral:sRNA from 1 species
UGACCACCCUUAACGGGUCAAGGCCAUACGGACAGCCGGGUCAACUGCCGA